UACAGAGGGUGCAAGCGUUAUUCGGAAUUAUUGGGCGUAAAGAGCGCGUCGGCGGUCUGAUAAGUCUGGUGUGAAAUCCCUGGACUCAAUUCAGGAAGCGCAUUGGAUACUGUCAGACUCGAGUACAGGAGAGGUGAGCGGAAUUCCCGGUGUAGAGGUGAAAUUCGUAGAUAUCGGGAGGAACAACAGUGGCGAAGGCGGCUCACUGGACUGCAACUGACGCUGAGGCGCGAAAGCGUGUGGAGCAAACAGG
rnacentral:rRNA from 1 species